CCUAAAAGAUAACGGAGGCGCUCAAAGGUUUGCUCAGAAUGGUUGGAAAUCAUUCGUAGCGUGUAAAGGCAUAAGCAAGCUUGACUGUGAGACUGACAAGUCGAGCAGGUACGAAAGUAGGACUUAGUGAUCCGGUGGUUCCGUAUGGAAGGGCCAUCGCUCAACGGACAAAAGCUACCCCGGGGAUAACAGGCUCAUCUCCCCCAAGAGUCCACAUCGACGGGGAGGUUUGGCACCUCGAUGUCGGCUCAUCGCAUCCUGGGGCUGUAGUCGGUCCCAAGGGUUGGGCUGUUCGCCCAUUAAAGCGGUACGCGAGCUGGGUUCAGAACGUCGUGAGACAGUUCGGUCCCUAUCCGUCGUGGGCGCAGGAAAUUUGAGAGGAUCUGUCCUUAGUACGAGAGGACCGGGAUGGACAUACCUCUGGUGUACCAGUUGUUCUGCCAAGAGCACCGCUGGGUAGCUACGUAUGGAUUAGAUAAUCGCUGAAAGCAUCUAAGUGAGAAACUAACCUCGAGAUGAGAUUUCCCAUUCGUCAGAAGUAAGACCCCUGAGAGACGAUCAGGUAGAUAGGCUAGAAGUGGAAGUGUAGUGAUGCAUGGAGCGGACUAGUACUAAUAGGUCGAGGACUUAACCAAG
rnacentral:rRNA from 1 species